GAGAUUUAAGGGGGUGGGAGGGGGCUUCAAGGCAGCAGCAGGGGGCCAGGGCUUCAAGGGGGCAGCCAUUUUUUAAAAUAGGAACAGCCAUCGGAGGAGCAAUUUCUUCAAUAAUUACGGCGGCAGUGUGUGGAAAGCGCGGGAGGGGUGCUGGAUGUAGAUUUUGCUCUUGAACUCAAGAUCCAAACAGCAAGAUCACGAGAUACAGCACUCAACUGAGUGUGAGGCACUCUCCGGCCUAAGGAUCUUGGAAGGAAGAACAAGCGUUAACCCUCGUGGGACUGUUCUGAAAGGCUUAGUGUACCCACAGGGACAGCUCUAAACAGCUUAUGGCCCUAUUUUCCCUUUCUGAAGAAAAGGCACACAUUUGACCAGCAUUUUCUUGCCAACCCUUUUGAUUAAAUC